UACGUAGGGGGCAAGCGUUGUCCGGAAUUAUUGGGCGUAAAGAGCGCGCAGGCGGUCGUGCAAGUCGCGUGUGAAAGCCCCCGGCUCAACUGGGGAGGGUCACGCGAUACUGCUCGACUUGAAGGCAGGAGAGGGAAGUGGAAUUCCCGGUGUAGUGGUGAAAUGCGUAGAUAUCGGGAGGAACACCAGUGGCGAAGGCGACUUCCUGGCCUGUUCUUGACGCUGAGGCGCGAAAGCUAGGGUAGCAAACGGG
rnacentral:rRNA from 1 species